AUCUGAGCUGAAGGGUUGGAAGCUGCAGCGUUAAAACCUGGUCCAAGUAGCCCCCUGUGCCUUAAAUGGGAUGGCAGUGUUGGUUCAGCAUUGGAAGAUCCACCCCCAAAAGUCAUCAUUGAAACAGAGGAAAGGAAAAAGCCAUAUGAUCCUGUCACUAGUUGGAGAAAAAGUAUUGGACUAAAUUCUACAGCUGUUCAUGGUAAAAGCUAUCAGGAGCCUAGAAGCAGAACAGAACCUUCUCAACAGAUUAAAGACAUGUACUCUAUACUUCCAAUGAGAAUGCCUUAUAUGAAUGGACAAGAUACAAUGCUUUCUCCUUAAGAAGCCUUAGGAACUGGUUCAUAGGAGGACUUGGGAAAGGUUUGGAGAUGCCAACAAGAGAAGCCCU
ensembl:lncRNA